rnacentral:rRNA from 1 species
AUAAGCAAAAUAAGGGCGUAUGGGGAAUGCCUAGGCUCUCAGAGGCGAAGAAGGACGUGAUAAGCUGCGAAAAGCUACGGGGAUUGGCACACACGAUAAGAUCCGUAGAUAUCCGAAUGGGGCAACCCACUAUGUUGAAGACAUAGUAUCCGAAUAGGAGGCAAACCCGCUGAACUGAAACAUCUAAGUAGGCGGAGGAGAAGAAAACAAAAGUGAUUCCGUAAGUAGUGGCGAGCGAACGCGGAAUAGCCCAA